AUUGAACGCUGGCGGCAUGCUUUACACAUGCAAGUCGAACGGCAGCGCGGUCUUCCGCCUGCUAGUGACUGACAAACGGGUGAAUAAUACAUCUGAACUUGACCUGUACUGGGGGAUAGCUCGACCAAAGCCAGAUUAUUACCGCAUACGACCUGACGGUGAAAACGGGGGAUCUUCACACCUCGCGCUAUUGUAGCGCCCGAUGGCAAAUUAUCAAGUUGGUGGGGUAAAGGCCUACCCAGGCCACGAUCUGUAUCUGGUCUGAGAGGACGACCAUCCACACUGGGACUGAGACUCAGCCCACACUCCUACUGGAGGCGGCAGUGGGGAAUUUUGGACUAUGAGCUAAAGCCUGAUCCUGAACUGCCCCGGGUGUGAUGAAGGCCUUCGGCUUGUGAAGGGCUUUUGGCGGUAACAAAAAGGACUGUGCCGCUACCACUGUUCGAUGACGGUACCCGCAUAAUAAGCACCGGCAAACUACGUGCCAGCUCCCGCGGCAAUACUUAUGGUGCAAGCGUUAAUCGGAAUCACAGGGAGUGAACAGUGCGCAAGCGGUUUUGCAUGCACGAUGUGGAAUCCCCGGUCUUAACCUGGGAACUGCAUUGGUGACUGCAAGGCUAGAGUGUGUCAGAGGGAGGUGGAAUUCCGCGUGUAGCAGUGAAAUGCGUAGAUAUGCGGAGGAACACCGAUGGCGAACGCCCCCUCCUGGGAUAACACUGACGCUCAUGCUCGAAAGCGUGGGGAGCAAACAGGAUUAGAUACCCUGGUAGUCCACGCCCUAAACGAUGUCUACUAGUUGUCGGGCAUUAAUUUCCUUGGUAACACGUCUCACGCGUGAAGUACACCGCGCUGGGGAGUACCGUCGCAAGAUUAAAACUCUCAGGAAUUGACGGUUAACGGUCACAAGCGGUGGAUGAGGUGGAUUAAUUCGAUGCGACGGGCAUAAACCUUACCUACGGCCGACAUGUCCGGAACCCUGAAGAGAUUUGGGGGUGCUCUAAAGAGAGCCGGAACACAGGUGCUGCAUGGCUGUCGUCAGCUCGUGUCGUGAGAUGUUGGGUUAAGUCCCGCAACGAGCGCAACCCUUGUCAUUAGUUGCCACCCAAGGGCUCUCUAUUGAAACUGCCGGUGACUAACCGGAGGAAGGUGGGGAUGACAUCACGUCCUCAUGGCCCUUAUGUUGUGAGCUUCGCUCUUCAUAGCAUGGUAUGGUACAGAAGGGUUGCGAAACCUCGAGGGGGACCCCAUCCCAAUUAAUCCAAUCGAAUCCCGGAUUGCAUUUCCGCUCCUUGACUUGCAUGAAUUCAGAAUC
rnacentral:rRNA from 1 species